rnacentral:rRNA from 1 species
GACGAACGCUGGCGGCGUGCCUAAUACAUGCAAGUUGAGCGCUGAAGGUUGGUACUUGUACCAAUUGGAUGAGCAGCGAACGGGUGAGUAACGCGUGGGGAAUCUGCCUUUGAGCGGGGGACAACAUUUGGAAACGAAUGCUAAUACCGCAUAAAAACUUUAAACACAAGUUUUAAGUUUGAAAGAUGCAAUUGCAUCACUCAAAGAUGAUCCCGCGUUGUAUUAGCUAGUUGGUGAGGUAAAGGCUCACCAAGGCGAUGAUACAUAGCCGACCUGAGAGGGUGAUCGGCCACAUUGGGACUGAGACACGGCCCAAACUCCUACGGGAGGCAGCAGUAGGGAAUCUUCGGCAAUGGACGAAAGUCUGACCGAGCAACGCCGCGUGAGUGAAGAAGGUUUUCGGAUCGUAAAACUCUGUUGGUGGAGAAGAACGUUGGUGAGAGUGGAAAGCUCAUCAAGUGACGGUAACUACCCAGAAAGGGACGGCUAACUACGUG